ACGAGUGGCGGACGGGUGAGUAACACGUGGGUAACCUGCCCUUAAGUGGGGGAUAACAUUUGGAAACAGAUGCUAAUACCGCAUAAAUCCAAGAACCGCAUGGUUCUUGGCUGAAAGAUGGCGUAAGCUAUCGCUUUUGGAUGGACCCGCGGCGUAUUAGCUAGUUGGUGAGGUAACGGCUCACCAAGGCAAUGAUACGUAGCCGAACUGAGAGGUUGAUCGGCCACAUUGGGACUGAGACACGGCCCAAACUCCUACGGGAGGCAGCAGUAGGGAAUCUUCCACAAUGGACGCAAGUCUGAUGGAGCAACGCCGCGUGAGUGAAGAAGGCUUUCGGGUCGUAAAACUCUGUUGUUGGAGAAGAAUGGUCGGCAGAGUAACUGUUGUCGGCGUGACGGUAUCCAACCAGAAAGCCACGGCUAACUACGUGCCAGCAGCCGCGGUAAUACGUAGGUGGCAAGCGUUAUCCGGAUUUAUUGGGCGUAAAGCGAGCGCAGGCGGUUUUUUAAGUCUGAUGUGAAAGCCCUCGGCUUAACCGAGGAAGUGCAUCGGAAACUGGGAAACUUGAGUGCAGAAGAGGACAGUGGAACUCCAUGUGUAGCGGUGAAAUGCGUAGAUAUAUGGAAGAACACCAGUGGCGAAGGCGGCUGUCUGGUCUGUAACUGACGCUGAGGCUCGAAAGCAUGGGUAGCGAACAGGAUUAGAUACCCUGGUAGUCCAUGCCGUAAACGAUGAAUGCUAGGUGUUGGAGGGUUUCCGCCCUUCAGUGCCGCAGCUAACGCAUUAAGCAUUCCGCCUGGGGAGUACGUCCGCAAGGUUGAAACUCAAAGGAAUUGACGGGGGCCCGCACAAGCGGUGGAGCAUGUGGUUUAAUUUGAAGCAACGGGAAGAACCUUACCAGGUCUUGACAUCUUUUGAUCACAUGAGAGAUCAGGUUUCCCCUUUGGGGGCAAAAUGACAGGUGGUGCAUGGUUGUCGUCAGCUCGUGUCGUGAGAUGUUGGGUUAAGUCCCGCAACGAGCGCAACCCUUAUGACUAGUUGCCAGCAUUUAGUUGGGCACUCUAGUAAGACUGCCGGUGACAAACCGGAGGAAGGUGGGGAUGACGUCAAAUCAUCAUGCCCCUUAUGACCUGGGCUACACACGUGCUACAAUGGAUGGUACAACGAGUUGCGAGACCGCGAGGUCAAGCUAAUCUCUUAAAGCCAUUCUCAGUUCGGACUGUAGGCUGCAACUCGCCUACACGAAGUCGGAAUCGCUAGUAAUCGCGGAUCAGCACGCCGCGGUGAAUACGUUCCCGGGCCUUGUACACACCGCCCGUCACACCAUGAGAGUUUGUAACACCCGAAGCCGGUGGCGUAACCCUUUAGGGAGCGAGCCGUCUAAG
rnacentral:rRNA from 1 species